GAUGAAGAACGUAGCGAAAUGCGAUAAGUAGUGUGAAUUGCAGAAUUCAGUGAAUCAUCGAAUCUUUGAACGCACAUUGCGCCCUUUGGUAUUCCAAAGGGCAUGCCUGUUCGAGCGUCAUUUCAACCCUCAGGCCUCGCGUCUGGCGUUGGGGCGCUGCGGCCCUCCCGCAGGCCCCCAAAUUUAGCGGCGGAUUCCCCGCGGCCCUGAGCGCAGUAGAGAGUAAAAACUUUAACGCUCCGGCGGCCGUGGCGCGGUUCUGCCUCUUUCCCAAUAGCGCCAAUAGCGCCACCCCCAAAAAAGUUGACCUCGGAUCAGGUAGGACUACCCGCUGAACUUAAGCAUAUCAAUAAGCGGAGGA
rnacentral:misc_RNA from 1 species